GAUGAAGAACGUAGCGAAAUGCGAUAAGUAAUGUGAAUUGCAGAAUUCAGUGAAUCAUCGAAUCUUUGAACGCACAUUGCGGCCGCCAGUAUUCUGGCGGGCAUGCCUGUCUGAGCGUCAUUUCAACCCUCAUGCCCCUAGGGCGUGGUGUUGGGGAUCGGCCAAAGCCCGCGAGGGACGGCCGGCCCCUAAAUCUAGUGGCGGACCCGUCGUGGCCUCCUCUGCGAAGUAGUGAUAUUCCGCAUCGGAGAGCGAUGAGCCCCUGCCGUUAAACCCCCAACUUUCCAAGGUUGACCUCAGAUCAGGUAGGAAUACCCGCUGAACUUAAGCAUAUCAAUAAGCGGAGGA
rnacentral:misc_RNA from 1 species